rnacentral:rRNA from 1 species
GUGGGGAAUAUUGGACAAUGGGCGCAAGCCUGAUCCAGCAAUGCCGCGUGGGUGAAGAAGGCCUUCGGGUUGUAAACUGCUUUUGUACGGAACGAAACGGUCCUGGCUAAUAUCCGGGGCUAAUGACGGUACCGUAAGAAUAAGCACCGGCUAACUACGUGCCAGCAGCCGCGGUAAUACGUAGGGUGCGAGCGUUAAUCGGAAUUACUGGGCGUAAAGCGUGCGCAGGCGGUGCUGUAAGACAGGCGUGAAAUCCCCGGGCUCAACCUGGGAAUUGCGCUUGUGACUGCAGUGCUGGAGUGCGGCAGAGGGGGAUGGAAUUCCGCGUGUAGCAGUGAAAUGCGUAGAUAUGCGGAGGAACACCGAUGGCGAAGGCAAUCCCCUGGGCCUGCACUGACGCUCAUGCACGAAAGCGUGGGGAGCAAACAGGAUUAGAAACCCGAGUAGUCC